CCUACGGGAGGCAGCAGUGGGGAAUCUUGCACAAUGGGCGAAAGCCUGAUGCAGCAACGCCGCGUGAGCGAAGAAGGCCUUUGGGUCGUAAAGCUCUGUCCUUAGGGAAGAAGGAAGUGACGGUACCUUAGGAGGAAGCCCCGGCUAACUACGUGCCAGCAGCCGCGGUCAUACGUAGGGGGCAAGCGUUAUCCGGAAUUAUUGGGCGUAAAGAGUACGUAGGCGGUUUUUUUAUCGCAGGGUUUAAGGCUGU
rnacentral:rRNA from 1 species